CUUUCUUCUAAAUCCAAUGAAUCAUACUUUUUCAUCUUCCUCACGAAUAUGCACUAAAGAUAAAGCAGCUGAGGUCUGAGACAUUAAGAACUGAGGAACUGGAUUGUUAAAUUCCUAUGUUGCCAAAGCAAAAGCUCUCGUGAAACAAAUCCAUACAACUG
rnacentral:lncRNA from 14 species